CAGUAGCCGCGGUAACACGGAGGGUGCAAGCGUUAAUCGGAAUUACUGGGCGUAAAGCGCACGCAGGCGGUUUGUUAAGUCAGAUGUGAAAUCCCCGAGCUUAACUUGGGAACUGCAUUUGAAACUGGCAAGCUAGAGUCUUGUAGAGGGGGGUAGAAUUCCAGGUGUAGCGGUGAAAUGCGUAGAGAUCGGGAGGAACAUCAGUGGCGAAGGCGGCCAUCUGGGACAACACUGACGCUGAGGCACGAAAGCGUGGGGAGCAAACAGGAUUAGAUACCCGCGUAGUCCCUGUCUCUUAUAC
rnacentral:rRNA from 1 species